rnacentral:misc_RNA from 1 species
UCAAUCUAUUAUCCAACUAUAGCUAAAAUCAGUAAUAACUGCAGAUGGACACAAUGGUUUGAAACAAAAUAUAUACUGCAAUACUCUCUCUUACGAAGAUGUUUGUAAAGUCCAGCCAACUUCUUUAAAUUCACUCGAUACAUGUUAUCCAAUGAGAAAAGGAAAUUACCAAUGUAAAAAACAAACAAAAUUGACAACCUGUUGUACUGAUUCACCACUGAAAUUCACAAACUACUAAUUGUUCCUGGUCUGUCUUCAUCAUAGAAAAUAUAUACAACGUUUUCUAUAUGCGCAAAAAGCGAAUUUGAAGCCUAUCAAAAUUCGUAUAGGCAGUUCACCACAAGGCUUACCAGGUCCUCAUUAUAUCGGAAAAGAAUAUCCCCUGAGGUAUUUAGAAUCCACACCUGACUCUCGCACCAAUGCUAUUCGCCCUGUUCUUGCCACCUCACAAAUGCCAUAGGGUUCUAACAACCUCUGCAGUGCAACCAUCUUGUCCAAAUCUCCAGUAAGCUCAAGGGUUAUUGUGUGGUCAGAUACAUCAACUGCUUUUGCCCUAAAAAUGCUAGCAAUGUCAAGGACAUCUCGUCUAGCAGCAGCAUUCACAGCAAUCUUUAUCAACAUCAAUUCCCGUUCAGCAAAUGGCAAGUGAGUAAGAUCCUGAACCUCAUGAAGGUCUAUCAGCUUAUAAAGUUGCUGCACCAACUUGCUUAUUGAUUCAUCUGUUCCAGGAACAACAGUUGUUAUUCGAGAAAGGCCCUCAGUUUCUCCAUGCCCAACGGCCAAACUCUGAAUGUUAUAGCCUCUUCGAGCAAAUACUCCUGUAACAAUGUUAAGAACUCCAGGAGAGUCGGUCACCAGCAUGGAGAGAGUGUGAGAUCGAAGUCCAGUUGUAUCAUCUUCAUCGAGAACACCCCAAUGAGCAUCAAGAACUUGAGUGCCUGUAAAGCUAUCAGAUGGUUCCACUGGAUAAACAUCCCCCCCUGCAGAUGUUUCUUCGCCUAUGACUGCUCUGCUUUUAGACCCCAAAAGAGCAUCAUUAGGCCUUAUUUCUCCAAGAUCAGGAUAUGAAGCAGCUGAAAAUCGCCAAAAGGGAGCACAUGCACCCAUUUUUUCCCUUCUCAAUGCAAUCUUUCCAGUUCUUGCAAUUUCUUUGAUUCCAAACUUGCUUAGGUUUCUCUGAACAGCAACCAUCUUCCCAGGAUCUCCAGUUACCUCAAUUGUUAAAGAGUGCUCUGAGAUAUCCACAAUUUUUGCUCUGAAAAUGUCCACCAACCACAUGAUCUCAGGACGGUAAUUACGGUCUGCAUUCACUUUUAUAAGCAUUAGCUCACGUUCUACCUGUGGCUCACUGGAGAGAUCUUCAACCUUCAAAACAUUGACUAGUUUCUGAAGUUGCUCUACAACUUGUUGCAGCACCCUUUCAGUUCCAGAGACGACUAUGGUGAAGAGUGCCUUGUCCUUGUUCAGACCAACAGCAAGGGACUCAAUGUUAUACCCCCUCCUCGCAAAAACCCCAGCAAUCCGAUUAAUCAUCCCACUUUCAUCCCCCACAAACACGGAGAUUGUAUGCCUCCUCACCUUUGAAAUGGACAUUGACGGAGCAGGGCCAUUAGCGGAGAAAGCCGUGUUAGAGAUGUUGCUAUGAUUAUCAGCGGACGUAGCAGAUACUGCGAGUUUCCUUUGAGGCUGAUAGUCGUCAGAGGUGGAUUUUAAGAAUGUUAAAUAUGCAGGUUUUGUACUUGAGAAUCCAACGCGAAGAGAAGAGUUCCAAGCAAAAGACCGAGAAGGAGAAAGGUUUAGGGGUUGAAUCGUUAUGGAACAUGCUGGAGAUACGACCGCCAUGACAGAGAAGAAUACUGAGCUCGAGAAAUGAAGGAGAGAAGAAGAUGCAAAAAAGGCUUUAUCGCAUUUAGCUCUCGUUGGUGACGUGU